GCGGAGGGGAUCAUUUACACUAAAGAUAUGAAGGCGGGCGGGAAGCUCUCCGGGUUCAGCCUUGCUGAAUUAUUCGCCCUUGUCUUUUGCGUACUUCUUGUUUCCUUGGUGGGUUCGCCCACCAGUAGGACAAACGUAAACCUUUUGUAAUUGCGAUCACCGUCAGUAACAAAUUAAUAAUUACAACUUUCAACAACGGAUCUCUUGGUUCUGGCAUCGAUGAAGAACGCAGCGAAAUGCGAUAAGUAGUGUGAAUUGCAGAAUUCAGUGAAUCAUCGAAUCUUUGAACGCACAUUGCGCCCUUUGGUAUUCCAAAGGGCAUGCCUGUUCGAGCGUCAUUUGGACCCUCAAGCUUUGCUUGGUGUUGGGCGUCUUGUCUCUAGCUUUGCUGGAGACUCGCCUUAAAGUAAUUGGCAGCCGGCCUACUGGUUUCGGAGCGCAGCACAAGUCGCACUCUCUAUCAGCAAAGGUCUAGCAUCCAUUAAGCCUUUUUUCCACCUUUGAACUCCGAAUCAGGAAGGGAUCCCGGAUUAAGUUUAACCUACCCAUAAACCGGAAGAAA
rnacentral:rRNA from 1 species